ACGGUCUCAUCAUAUUGAAACACUGGUACGAUCAGCGAAGUUAAGCAAUGUCGAGCCUGGUCAGUAACUAGAUGGGUGACUGCUUGGGAAUACCAGGUGCUGU